AGAAUAUGAAAAUGGAAUCAUGGAGUCGCACGACAUUUUUCCAACAAAGGUAGAUUUAUACACUAGGACCCUACCCUUGUAACUGACCGUACGUAUUCACUCGAAUAUAAUAGUCUAUAGAAAGUAACGCCGCACGGUGCACUUUGACUGCGGUCUGCUGUCACUUUCUCAAGCCGCAAAACGGAAAUGAACUCUUCCUCCUCCACCGCUGCGGUGAAUGAUCCAAUGCCAGCAACCACCCAUCCUUUAACCACCGAAAUUGACGAUGAUUUCGAAAUGGAGUACGAAGAAGUAGAAGAGGUCGGAAAAGAGGUUGAAAUCGAAGAAGGAAAAGAUGACGACUUUGUAGAAGAUUUAACUCCUAUUCGGGAAGAAAAUAAUCAGAAUGGUUAGUUUUAUACAAUUGAUUUGAAAAUUGAGCUAUUUUUGGGUUGUCAUUAAUUUUUUUCCUGUGGAAAUUUGUGGGAAUUUUAUCUGUUUUAUUUUGAGGAAUGUCGUCGAUACAGUCCGUUUGUAGGGUUUUGAUUUUUAUUUUACACGAAUUUUGUGAUUGUGGGUUUAUGUCAUUUCUAUGUGUGAGCACGAUUUCUGAUUUUAUGGCUUGAUCAUUCAAAAUAGGACGGAUUCUUGAUUUUUUGAGGAUUAUGUUCUUGAUACAACUUAAUUUUUGGGAUUUUUUUUCACGAAUUUCGUGGUUAUUGGUUUAUUUCAUUUAUAUGUGCGACAUUAGAUAUUUACAUUCCGCUGAUGUUAUACGUUCGGAUCAUUCAAAAAUAAAAAUGAACUGGUUCUUGUUAUUAGGAUUAUUAUUUUUUUAAUUAAAUUCUACUUUUGGGUUUUUAUUUAUUUAUUUAUUUUUGUAUGAAUUCUCUGAUUGGGGUCUCUCAUUUCUAUGCAUCUACACAAAUUUAUGGAAAUGCAUAUGAUAUUUAUUUGCUAUCUGAUCAUUCAGAAAAAAAUGGAUUCUUGAUUUAUUGAGGAAUGGUUUUGACAAAAUCUAUUUUUGGACUUUUCUUUUUUCUCAUUUUACAUGAAAUUUUGUCAUUGUGGGGUUCUCUUAUUUCUAUGCACUAACAUGAUUGAUUGGAAAUGCAUAUGAUAUUUAUUUCCCUUAAUUUCUUUGUAAGAACCAUUUUGUUUUUUGUCCAGUUUGGUGAUUCUACAUGCAUGUAUGUUUUUUUUCCUCACCGAUGAUUUUUGUCAUGCAAACAAGUCCCUAUAUAAUUUAAUUGUUGGUAAUUUGAAAUGAACGUUUAAAUGACGCUAAAAAUAGAGCACUGGCAUCUGGACAACCGGCAAAACACGGAGAUGCCAAAGCUGCAUUGAUUGCUCACUGCCAAUCCAUGUAUUUAUUACAUUUGCAUCCUGUGUUCAGCUCCACGCGUCUAAUUUUCUGUGGCACAGGAUGCUUUAGUCGAGCAUUGGCUUUUGACAACUGUCGAGAAGAAGAGACGCCACAAUUGCAUUGACUGUCCACUGUUGAAGUGUUUAAUGUUGCAUGCUGGAACGUUUGUAUGUGAUAGGAGGACUAGUUUCCAUUACAUGUAUAUCUACAUCAUAUAAUAAGUUUAUGAUGUAUCAUUUUGUCGUUACAUUAAUUAACGCACACCUUUAGGAAAGACUUUGGCAGAAUAUAGAUUACAUGAAUCCAGUUCCCUACAAACCAGAUGGGGAUCUAGUGAUUCCAGUGAGGUUCAAAGGAAAUUAUAAAAAGAAAAAGAGCCAACGAAUGGUUUGCAGUUGAAGGAAUGGCAGCUUAACAAGUAGCUGGAACAGAAGAUGCCAUCGGAAAUCUUUAGUUGCACUUACAUUCUGUUGUGCAGUUCAUAUUGGUUCUCGAGUUUUGGAUGCUCUCUCAUGGCUUUAUAUACUUAACAAAUAGUUAUUGCUGUUUCUUUGUCUGUAAAGAACAUACAAAACAUGAUUUUGCAAGCCUGAUUCAUUUGUGGUAACAGUUUUGUUUUGUUUUGUUUUGUUUAUCAUUCUCCUUGAUCUAUUCCAAUAACAACAAUGUCAAUGCACUGUUUCAGGUUUGCCAAUUUAAUGACUUAGUCUUCUAGUUCAAUUGCUUCCACAAUUAUUGGUAAAUUUAUUUUGUUGAGUUGGGAUUCAGUUUAUUUUAUGUAAUUGUUAUAAUAUAAAGUGAGAAAAUAUUGGACCAUUUAAAAGAAUCAAUUCGAUGUAAAUUAGCAGUUAGUAGUUUGUUGGUGUGAAAAUUAAUGAACUGAGAAUAGGAGGGCCAAAAUGGUAUAAAAAUAUACCUUUCCAGGUGUUUAGGACUUCUGUGAAAUAUUUCUGAAAUUGACUUAGAUCUUGGAAAGUUAUAUCUGGACUUACAAGUCCUUUACAUUGUAAAAUAGGACUUAAUGCUUCCUUUUAAGCUUUUUUUGUGAUUAUAUUUGUUCCUUAUUUGUAGAUCCUUGUGGAGAUACAGGUCUUGAAGAGCACAUGAGAUCGGGUUUAAUGACAUCAGGAAAAGAUGUUGCAGAACCACAACCAAAUAUCCCCACUAUACUGGGCAAUACUUGCAAGCUCAACAUUUCAGAGUCAAGUGAGGACAGACCAAAGGUGGAGUCACGUGGCGAUGGUGAGGAUUUCGAGUAUCCUAUAAUGUCAAAAAAUGCUCUCAAGAAAAUCUAUGAAAAUGUUAUGUUUUGUUUGUUUUCUGAGAAGUUUUCUUAGCUCUCCUUGAGUUUUAUCAUUAGAAUCACUAGUUCAGAAAAAUAACCAUAAUGCUUUUGCAGGUAAAAGAACCCUGAAAGACUGAUGAGAAAUCAAUUAGCAGUUUGUUGAUGUGAAAAUUAAUGAACUAAGAAUUGAAGGGAAAAAGUUAAAGAAAUAUGCCUUUUCAGGUGGUUAGGACUUCUAUGAAAUAUUUCUGAAAGUGACUUAGAUCUUAUAAAGUUAUAUCUGGGCUUAUACUGUUCUUUAUGUGUAAAAUGGGACUUAAAUGUUUCCUUUGCUUUAACCUUUUUUCGUGAUUAUUUGUUUCUUCUUCGCAGAUCCUAACAGAGUUACGGGUCCUGAAGAGCACUUGAAAUCCAGUUUAGUGACUUCACGAAAGCAUGCGCAUCCACUACCAAAUAUCCCCAAUAUCCUGGGCAAUACUGGCAGGCCAAAAAUCUUUGAGUCAAGUGAAGACAGACGGAAUACAGAGUCAUGUGGAGAUGGUGAGGAUUUCUAGUGUCCAAUAUUGUCAAAUAAUGCUCUCAAGAUAAACCAUAAAAAUGUUAUUAUUUGAUUGUUUUGUGUAAAUUUUCUUUGCUUUCAGUUUUAUCAUAAGAAUCACUGGUUCAGAAAAAUAACCAUAAGGCUCUUGCAGGUAAAAGAACUCUGAAAGACACUGAUGAAAAACCUUUUUCUGACAGUCGGGGAAUGAAUUCUUUGAACAGCAAAGCUUCUGCUGGAUCAGUCAGCGCUACAACAUCAAUGAUUGAUGCAUCUAGGGAGAAGUUUUAUGGUGCUGAGUAUUUUGCUGCAGUGAACACAAAGCAAAUGUCACAAAGGUAUAACACCUAUUUGAAUUAAUAGUAGUUUUUUCCCCCUUACUAGAGUUGAAUCCUGAUGGUGUCUAUUUUUCAGGCUGAACACUUCCCAGACAAGGCCUAGAGAUUUGUCAUCAAGCACUGAGUUGACAGGUGGGAUUAAAAGACAGAGGAUUGUAUGUGAAUUUCAUUCCAAGGGAUGGUGCAUCAAAGGGAAUACUUGUAGGUUCCUUCAUAUAAAGGAGGGAGCUGUGGAUGCAUCAACUGGACAUAUAACCAGGACGUCUUUUGAUGAUUGGGAACCAUCUGUUCCUUUCCGUCCAUCACACUUCAUCACUGAGAAAUUACUGUCUCAGGCAAAUCUGUGUGACCCCAUUCGUGAUAGCAUUGAGCCAACAAAAGUUAGAGAUGGGGUCUCAAAAAUUUCUGGUGGUGGCGAUCUACAUUCAACCGGAGAUGUUGAUCCAAAGGCGAUCAUAUUGAGUACAAGUCGUGAUUCAGGAAAACUAGGUGAAUCAAUUCACGUGACAGAACCAGACUUGGAUAAAGUCAGUCUAAAGAAUGAGCACAGUGGAUAUCUGCAGAAGGAAUCAAAAGAAAUGAAACAUUUUAGAGCUGUUCUUGUGGAACAUGUUAAGGAUUUGGUAAAACCAACUUGGCUUGAGGGCCUUCUGAGCAAGGACGCUCACAAAUUGGUAGUUAAGAAGGCAGUCGACAAAAUUCUGAGCUCAUUUCAACCACCGCAUCAGAUUCCUAGCACGGGUGAAUCAAUUAAGUCCUAUCUUUAUGUGUCUCAGCCCAAAAUUGAAAAGCUAGUUGAGGUAGUGCUUAUAAUUACACUGAUAUAUAUACUGAGACAGACUGAUUGAUAUAAACUAUUUUCACAUUUGACAUUUGGUUAUUACUAUUGCAGGGAUACAUGGAGAAGUAUGGGAAAUGUUGAAAUGGCUUUCUGGUUGUUCUUUCUAGCAUAUCCUGUACCAUGCCAACUGGAAGUUCUGAACCAUUGUUCGUGGAUUAUCAAGCUUUUCUUAGGCUAAGACUGGGACUACUGAAAUGCUUUUGAUUCUCAGAUGUCCAGUUUUAUGGAUAAAACUUUGACCCCCCUUAUACGUGGGAGUGUAAGUGUUUUGUCUAAACUCUAUAUGACUUUAAUUUUCUAUCCUUUGUAUCAUGUUGACUUUGCAAAUAGAGACUGGAUUUUCUUUGUAGCUGGCUUUUGAGGUAGCCUUAAAAUUGGUGAAAUUUUAGAGUGGUUAGAGCAUGCAAUAGAAGACGAGUUAGCAAGCGAAGUGACCAAUGAGUAUUAGGUCCUAGCAAUGAGGCCCUUUUGAUUUCUCCUUGAGUUGGAGUGGUCAGAAAAGAGAAUACUCUCUUUACCCAUGAGAAACAAUUUAAUACUAAUUGAAUGCUUGUUUUAAGGUCAACUCUUGGGGGGGGGGGGGGGGGGUUAUCCUAGAGGUGUCGAACCAGGCAAGCACACCUGGAAAUAGCUCAGACUGUUAAAUGGGCUGAGCCUGUUCCUGGGCGGCAAGCCUAAUAGGUGGGCCGAUCCGGCCAGUCCUGUAGUAUUUCACAGAAGUAAAAAUAAAAAUAAAAAAUAAAAAGAAACUCCAAUUAAAUUUGCAAUGAUUAAAUCUGAUUUGGAAUUGUUAAUGAAUAACUUAAUUCUUUUAUUAGAUUUCCAAGGUGUUAGCAUGCCUUGAUUACAAUUUCAUGGUAGAAUUAAUGCCGUGCAACAUAAAUCAAAGUGUUAAUGCCUCGAUUUAGGCUGUUCGAAAAAAUUGUAUGAUUUAAUUAUGACAUUAACAUCUUGCUACUAGGCUCCCACGUUUACAUAAAUUUGCUUGAUUUAAGGGAAAAAUUAGGUUGUGCUCCACAACUUUUCAUGUGUUGUAGUUAUGGAUACUCAACCUUCAAAAGUGAAAUUCUAAGUCCCAACCUAUUUAAAUAUCUAAAUCUGGAUCCCACGUGAUCGAAAACGUCAAUAUGUUCAAAUCGCACACGACCAUCAUUGACUCUAAACUAUAUGGCCAAACAAUUAUCUCCCAUGGAAUUGAAAUUUGCAUGUGAUUUUAGCCUCUACAUUAAUGAUUUUGGUUAUGUAGUACCUAAAUUCUUAAAUUUAAAUAGGUUGGGUACAUAGAACCUUACUUUGAAGGUUCAGGACUCAUAACACCGCCACGUGAAAGUUUGGGGAGCUUAACAUCAUUUUUCUUUUAGCUCUUUUUUGAGCCCCAUUCUUUUCGUAAGAAUGAAUUUUUGAAUAGUGUAUUGAUGGGAAAUGUGUGGUUAAAAAAGAAAGAAAAGUUUUGGGUUUAAGUGUAAUAUUAUUUUAUUGAAAAAUGUGCGGUUGAAAUGAUGUUAAAACACUGUUUAAGAAUAUUUUUUUUUCGAAGAAUAGAGCUCAAACAAGGGCUUAAUUUAAUACCCCAUUUCAAUAUAUAAUAAAUUUAAUUCUAAAAUUAAAAAAACUAUCAUUUUGGCAAUUAGAUCGAAUUGCCCCCAAAUUUGGAUGGACCAAUAGGUGGUUUAAGCUUUUAAAAAAAUUUAAAACACGAACUUCGGCAUGUUCGAGCUGUGCCGACUUGAGAAAUGAGGCGGGUCUAUCUGAACUGAGCCGCCCAUUUUGACAUGUCUAUUCGAAAUGAAAAGGUGCCCCCAAUGAACAUGAUUCGAAGAACGAGUGUUACUCUGGCACUAGGAGGUUGGAGGCAACUAAAAAUUAGUUGUCUCCAACAAAAAAUUUUGACAACUUCAUACAUGAAUUCUCAAUUAGCAAGUUGUCAACACAAUGCACUACAAGUGACAUCACAUUUGGAAUAGCGUCUUUAAUUUUUAAUGAGUGUUAAUGUGAUGAGUUGUCAAACUUUUAAUGAGGGGACAACAUACACUCACUCCCCCGUAUGGCUUAAUGAAGCCUACAUUUAUGGCUUAAUACACCUUGCAUUUGAUGCAAAUUAAAUGUAAAAUUUGAAAUCAUUUCCAUGUUAAAAGGAAAAAAUCUAUUAAUUGUUAUUUAUAAUCGCACUCACUAUUCACAAUGGUUUAGCCUCCGUUUGGAUUCCAAUUGAUAAAUAGUAGGUAGUUCAAUUAAAGUCCAAAAUUAACUUCAAUUACACAUAUUAUCUACAUAUUUCGUAAGAUUCAUUGCUAUUCGUAUUUAUAAAUCAUAAAUUUUCUAAGAUGAGGCUUAGCCCCCGGUUGAAAUAGUGUUUUUUUUUUUUUUUAAAUGUGUGGUUGAAAAGGAAUAAAAAGUUUUUGAUUUGUGUAUAAUAUUAUUUUAUAGAAGAUUGUGUGGUUGAAAAUAAGAGAGAGAAAAAAAAUGAAAAAGAGAAUGGAGGCCAAACAUGGGCUUAAUGUACAUGAAAUUUAUUAAUUUUUAAAUUGAUUGCAUUUUUUUUUGUAAGGGCUAAAGUGCACUUUCCAUCUGCAACCAUUUUUUGUCACAAUUUUACCCCAAUCUUCCAUUAAUUAGCAUUUCUCAGUCCUUGAUAAUCAUUUUUGUCCAAAUUCCUGUUACAGUAAUGUAAAAAGAUGAUUUUACCCUCCAUCAUUGAUGACGGUUUUUGUCCAAAAAUUCUAUUACAGUAGUUUAAAUAAACAAAAAUUGAAUAUAAAAGAGUAAAUAAUAAGAUGGAUUUUGGAUUUUUUUUAAGAAUGUUGAUACGGUCAAUAUUUUUUUCCCCACAAAUUUCGUAGUUAUGGGUUUAUCUCAUUUAUAUGUAUGAUGCAUUAGAUAUUUAGAAGGCUGACCUCAAUUAUGAUUUUAAUAAAUUUUAAAAUGAUCAUAAAUUUUACUGAAUUUCAUGAAUUUAAAUAGAUGUGUACAGAAUACAUAAGAAUCUCGUUAAAAAUGGUCUAAUUUCAAAAGGGUUUGUUAUGUGUAUUUUUAGGAUUGAAAUUCAUCUAGAUCUCUUGAAACCCCUUUAUUAAUGAAAUCCUUAUAAAUCUUUAUUGAGGACACCUAGAUUUUAAUGGAUUUAAUGAAAUUAAUUAGAAUUUCAGUUGAUUACACCUAGAUUUCAUCAGAUUUUAAUAUAAUCCAUUAAAAUCUCUAUUGGGGACACCUGAAUUUAAAAGGACUUUUAAAAUUCACUAAAUUCUCAGUUGAGGUCGUUGUUAUUUUCCGCUAAUGUUUUGUGUUGUACAUUUUGAUUAUUCAAAAUUAAAAAUAAAAUGGUUCUUAUUUUUGGGUGAAUGUUUUUCAUAAAUUCUAUCUUGAGCUUGUUUUAAAUGAAGUCUGUGAUUGUGGGGUUUUUCUCAUUUCUAUGUAUCCACCAAUUUUAUGGGAUUGCAUAUGAUAUUUAUUUGCUAAGCUCUACCAAAAUAAAAAGAAUUCUUGAUACGGUUUGACAUAAUCUAUUUUUGGGCUUCUCUUUUUUCAUGUUCUACAUGAAUUUUUUGACUGUAGGUUUCUCCUCUCUCUCUCUCUCUCUCUCUCUCUCUCUCUAUUUAUUUAUUUUUUAAUUUUAUGAACGGACACAAUUGUGUGGACAUGCAUACAAAUUUGCCUUGAUUUUUUUCUAAGAACUUUUUUUUUUAAUUUUUUAUUUUUGUCAAAUUUCGUGAUUCUGCAUGUGCGUAUUGGUUUUCCUCACUGGUGAUUUAUGUCAUGCACGUAAGUUCCUGUACAAUUUGAAUGCUGUUAAUUUGAAAAUGAAAGUUUAAAUGACCCUAAAAGUAGAGCAUUUGCUCUGGACAAGCAGCAGAAUGCAGAGAUAUCGCAAGGGCUUUGAUUGCUCACUGCUAAUGCAUGUAUUUAUUGCAUUUUCAUCCCAUCUUCAGCGCAUUAAGUCUAAUUUGCAGUAGUGUAUGGCAUUGACCUUUUGACAACUGUCUAGAAGAAGAGAUGCCACAAUUGCGUUGACUAUCCACUGUUGAAGUGUUCGAUAUUGCAUGCUGGAACCUUUUUAGGUGAUCAGAGGAUUAGUUUCCAUUACCUCGUGUAUAUCUACAUCAUAUAAAGUCAUGUUGAAUCAUUUUGUCAUUAUACUAAUUUACACGCGCCUUGAAGGAAAGACGGGGGCAGAAUAUACUAUACAUUAAUAUAGCUCCAUGCAAGUCAAUUGGUUCUUUGGCUGUGAAGAACAAUACAAAACGUGAUUUUUCAAAGCGUGAUUCUUUAGUCGUAAAAGUUUCCUUUCUGUUUUGUUUAACAUUCUCCUUAAUCUGUUCCAGUAACAACAAUAUGAAUGUACUAUUACAGUGACUUAGUCUCCUAGUUCAAGUGCUUCCAGAAUUAUUGGUAAAUUUAUUUUGUUGUGUUGAGAAUUCAGUUUAGUUUAUGUAACAAUUAUAAUAUAAAAUGAAGAAAGUAUUCUAGAAUUCAAGUACUUACUUCUAUUUAAAUUAGUAAUUAGUAGUUUGUGAUGUGAAAAUUAAUAAACUAAGAAGGGAAAAAUUGAAGAAGAUGUCGUUUCAGGUAGUUAGGACUUUUAUUAAAUAUUUCUGAAAGUGACUUAGACCUUAGAAAGUUAUAUCUGGACUUACACUGUUAUCUGGACUUACACUGUCCUUUACAUAGUAAAAUAGGACUUAAAUGUUUCCUUUUCUUUUAGCUUUUUUUGUGAUUAUAAUUUUUCUUCUUUUUAGAUCAUAGCCGAGUUUCGGGUCCUGAAGAGCGCUUGAGAUCAGCUUUAAGAGAUCAGCUUUAAUGACUUCAGGAAAAGAUGUUGCAGAUCCACCACCAAAUAUCCCCGCUAUCAUGGGCAAUACUGGGAGGCUCAACAUCUUGUAAUCAAAUGAAGACAGACCAAAGGUGGAGUCACGUGACGAUGGUGAGGAUUUCAAGUAUCCAAUGAUGUCAAUUGUCAAAUAAUGCUCUCAAGAAAAUUCGUAAAAAUGUUAUGAUUUGUUUGUUUUAUGUAAAGUAUUAUAGAAUUUAAUAAUUACUUUGAUAUAAAUUAGCAAUUAGUAGUUUGUUGAUGUGAAAAUUAAUGAUCUAGGAGGGCAAAAAUCAAAGAUGUCUUUUCAGGUGGUUAUGACUUUCAUAAAAUAUUUCUUAAAGUGAAUUAGAUUUUAGAAAUUUAUAUCUGAACUUAUACUGUCCUUUAGAAAGUAAAAUAGGACUCAAAUGUUUCCUUUUCUUUUAGCUUUUUUUGUGAUUAUUAUUUUUUCUUCUUUUUAGAUCCUAGCCUAGUUUCGGGCCCUGAAGAGCACUUGAGAUCAGGUUUAAUGACUUAAGGAAAAGAUGUUGCAGAGCCACCACCAAAUACCCCAUUACCCUGGGCAACACUGGCAAGCUCAACAUUUUGGAGUCAAGUGUAGACAGACCAAAGAUGGAGUUACGUGGUGAUGUGAGGAUUUCGAGUAUCUAAUAAUGUCAAAUAAUGCUCUCAAGAAAAUCCAUAAAAAUGUUAUGAUUUGCUUGUUUAGAAAAUUUCGUUUAGCUCUCUUGUGGUGGUGAUCCACAUUCGACAGGAGACAAUGAUUUAAAGGCUAUCAUAUUGAGUUCUAAAUGUGAUUCAGGAAAACAAGGUGAACAAAUGCACAAAACAGAAAUAGAAGUAGAUGAAUCAGGCAAAAGCCUCGGAUUGAUAUUGACUUUAAGAACAGUGGAUAUCAGCAGAAGGAAUCUGAGGAACCCUGACAUUUUUUAGCUGUCCUUGUGGAAGAAUAUGUUAAGGACUUGGCUCGAGGGCCUGUUGAGCAAGGACGCACGAAAAGUGACAGUUAAGGCACUUGACAAAUUCAUAGCCCAUUUCGACCUCACCAUAUUCCCAGCAUGGGCAUAUCAAUUGAGUCAUUUAUUAAUGCGUUUUGGGCAAAACUUCAAAAGCUAGUUGAGGUUAGUUAUUUUGAGUUACACGAUUAUAUGUUCUGAGGAAGACUUAUUGUAUAAACUAUUUUGCCUUUGACAUUUGGUUAUUAUUAUUACACAA
rnacentral:lncRNA from 1 species